GAUGAACGCUGGCGGCAUGCCUUACACAUGCAAGUCGAACGGCAGCACGGGUGCUUGCACCUGGUGGCGAGUGGCGAACGGGUGAGUAAUACAUCGGAACGUACCUUAUCGUGGGGGAUAACGCAGCGAAAGCUGUGCUAAUACCGCAUACGCCCUGAGGGGGAAAGCGGGGGAUCGCAAGACCUCGCGCGAUUAGAGCGGCCGAUGCCUGAUUAGCUUGUUGGUGGGGUAAAAGCCCACCAAGGCGACGAUCAGUAGCUGGUCUGAGAGGACGAUCAGCCACACUGGGACUGAGACACGGCCCAGACUCCUACGGGAGGCAGCAGUGGGGAAUUUUGGACAAUGGGGGCAACCCUGAUCCAGCAAUGCCGCGUGAGUGAAGAAGGCCUUCGGGUUGUAAAGCUCUUUUGUCAGGGAAGAAACACCGGCUCUAACACAGUCCGGGAAUGACGGUACCUGAAGAAUAAGCACCGGCUAACUACGUGCCAGCAGCCGCCGUAA
rnacentral:rRNA from 1 species